CGGGGUGAGUAACACGUGAGCAACCUGCCUUCAGAGGGGAUAACGUUUGGAAACGAACGCUAAUACCGCAUAACAUAUACGAACGGCAUCGUUCAUAUAUCAAAGGAGUAAUCCGCUGAGAGAUGGGCUCGCGUCCGAUUAGCUAGAUGGUGAGGUAACGGCCCACCAUGGCUUCGAUCGGUAGCCGGACUGAGAGGUUGACCGGCCACAUUGGGACUGAGACACGGCCCAGACUCCUACGGAAGGCAGCAG
rnacentral:rRNA from 1 species